GCGGCGGUGUCCAAACUGGUAAAGGAGAUGGAUUCAAAAUCCAUUGCUCGAAAGGGCUUGUGGGUUCGAUUCCCACCCGCCGCA
rnacentral:tRNA from 1 species